GCGGUGUAAAUGUUUUUUAUAUAUUAUUCCUGAUUUUGAAACUGAAAGCGCUACAUCAUUCCGAUCGGAAGAGGAGUUCUUCACUUUAUUAUAAUAGCGAAGAGAAUAAAAGAGAUGUGUUACUGUUCAACAGAGACUAUGAACAGCAAUCAAAGCGUUACUGUUUGAUUCAUUCACAGUUCAGAAUCAAUCUGUUGGAGACACUUCUCUGUGGACUAUAAUAUUAAGUCCUCUGUUUCUCCGUCUCAAAUUCAACAAAAUUUGACUUGGGUCUUGCUUAUUUUUUGCCUUUGUUGAAAUUUCAGCUUGUUUUGAGAUGGUCUAUAUUGGUUUUCUUAAUCUUUGGUUUUGGGCAUGAUCGGCGUUUCAUUGAAGUGCGAAUUGAUUGGAGGAUGAGGAAGACAACCUGUGAUCUACUUAUCUCUUUGUUUUUGCAUGCAAUUUGAUUAUAAUUAAAGUACUAAUUCUCAAUAUGGUGACAAGUCCUUCGGCUUUGAUACUGCUGUUGAGGCUCAACGAGCUAUUAAUGCAGCCCAUGUUGAGGCAGAGAGUUUCGAGAAUGGUAUUGGCGUUGUCAAGUUAACGGGCAGGUACAGUGGUGCAGGACACGAGCUUCUUUGUGAAAGUAUACGUGCCGUGGACCAACAGGAUGCUUCAGGAAACAAGCUACUCCAAGAUGUUGGUCUGUGGAUAUCCCAGAAAAUUAAGGAUCACUUUGCAAACCAGCAAAAGAUGAAUAUAACUCUGAAAUACAUUGGUUAGUCAAUUAAAAUUUUUCCUUCAUACCAAUUGAAAGCAACAGCCAUUAUGAAACAAGCAAUGUAAAGACUAAUGGAUUUGGCCUGUAUGGCAGAUCCCACCUACAUAUUCUGAGCUAUUCCAAGCAAUGCGUCUGACAAUGUGUACUGCACUUUACUAGCUCACAGUGCCAUUCAUGAGGCAAUGGCAGGAUAUACAGGUUUCACAGUUGGACCUGUAAAUGGAAGACACGCUUACAUACCAUUUCAUCGGGUGACUGAGAGAAAGAAUAAGGUUGUGAUUACUGAUAGAAUGUGGGCAAGGCUUGUGUCUUCAACAAAUCAGCCAAGCUUUUUGGAUCCUAAACAUGCAAUUAAAGAUAAGAACGCAGUAGAUGAAGAAACACAGUGCCCAUUACUAAAUGUGGAAAAUCACAUUGAUACACUGGUAACUGAGGAAACGUUUUAGAACAUUACAUGCCAAAUUAAGUACUCAGUUUUACUAGAGACAAAGCUGAUUUCUUGCAGCAUCCUUUUCGAAUGCUGGCUUCGUCAUGCUAAGUUCUUUUGCAAGUCGCUGUAAGUUUUCAGGUUAAUUGUUUUGGUAGUUCCCAAAGAAGCAUGAAGCAUUUGUAAAUCACUCAGAGUCAGAGCAGCAAUGGUAAUGCUUUAUGCCUCUCUUAUUGCACUUAUAGGCAAAUCCUUGCAGGUGUGUUUUACUAUAUAUGAACUUUUUAGAUCAGUCUUUAGAACAAGAAAUUUUAAAGUUUGGUAUUGUAAUACUACAAGCCUAGCAAGUGUAUAGCAGAACCAUAUGUUUGUAUUUUAAAUCUAUAAUAGACCGGGUCUAAACAAGUUUUUCCCGUAUAAUGUAACUAAACAAGUCCAAAUAUAGCACUCUUUCCUCGAAAAUUUUGAUUUGUUUUACUUACCACGAAUGAAUGGUUAACAUCAUGUAACUAUCAUGAUUAAUUAUCUAUUUGAAUUGUUUGAAAGUCGCCAUUUUUAUUAAUUUCUUUCUGAUUUAUCCAAUGUUAUUAAAAGUAAAUGGUAGUUUUGAGAUGCCUACACAAUAAACAUACACUAAAAAACAGGGUAAAUUGGACCAACCGUUGCUUGUUAUUUCACUUCAGUAUCUCUCAAUUUUAGCAUGGUGUCAGAAAAAGUUUCUUGAUUUCUAGGUUUAAAAGAAGUUUUUUAUUUUUCUCUUUUUUAUUUUUAUAAUUAAUAAUUAUUAUCAUAAAAUUAUUUUAUUUUAACUAAAUUUAUUAAUAAAAUUAUUAAUUAUAUAUAUGUUAUUUGUUAUUAAUUAAAAUUAAUUUAUAACAAUCUAGAAAAAUAAUAAUAUAAUAAUAAUUUUUUAAAUAAUAUUUUAUUCUCUCUCUCUUUUAAAUUUUUUACUUUUAGGAUGAUCAUGUGAAAAUUUAGGGUGGGAGCAUUAUCAUAGAUGGAACUUCACACCAUAUGUGUAACAGAAGAAGCUAGCUGCCAAAGGGAGCCAACAAAAUCCUCGUUUGUUCCUCUGUAAGUUGUAAAAGAGAUGAAAAUGGAAGCGUUUCACAGCAAACAACUAAUUUCAAGAACACCAAAAACAGCCAAUGCACAGAGGCUCGCACUCACACACACACAAAGAAACAGAGAAGGGAUAUGGCGAUGAUCUUGAACAUCAACUUCAUGGGAUUUGCUAUUCUUGCAAUGGCUGGAAUUCUGAUUUCCAAUGGAUCCAAUGUAGGUCUGGGUCAACCAUGCGAAGGUGACCUGCAAGGUCUAAUAACACAGUGUGCUAUGUAUGUUCAAAAGGGAGGUCCAAGAAUGGAUCCAUCUCAAGGGUGUUGCAAUGUAAUAAAGUAUGUUGAUAUUCCAUGCGUGUGCAAGUACAUUUCCAAGGAGAUUGAGGACGUUAUUGACAUGGACAAGGUUGUUCAUGUUGCUGAUUUCUGUAGCAAACCACUUAGCCAUGGCGUGAAAUGUGGAAGUGAGUAAAAAUUCAAUCUUUUCUGGAUUUUAUAAUGAAAAAAACAAAAUAUAAUCACGUAAAACUUUGAAAUCCUAUUUCUCAAUGUGUUUACUAAAU
rnacentral:misc_RNA from 1 species